CCCCUCUCAAGGUCAUGCCUGGGGAGUUUCCAGUCCUCUACCAGUCUUGGCUACGGGAGGGAGAGUCAAGCAGAGGCCUGUCCAUUCCAUUCCUAGCUAGGGCAGUGGUUAGCAAGUGGAAGGCAAUCUGCUAUAGUC